UGAACAGCAUCCAUUAUGACAUCCCACAAAAUGCGAACAACCUCGAUAUCAGGUAAAUUGGCAUCUCUCAUUCGGUGUUUCACAGUUUCUAUAACUUCAGCAAUGUCAGUUUCCUCGGCUAUUUGGGUUGUUAAAGCAGAUUUCAUUUCACUUAGCUUCACAUCGAACAUUUUUUUUGCAUUGUAUUCUACCAAGGGUACCAGACCUUCCUUUGUGAAAUGCUCAGAAAAGCCCUCAGCAGAUCGCUUAGACGAGGGAAAGAACUCCAGAAGAUUGUCUUCCACUUUGCCCCUCUUCAGGAU
rnacentral:misc_RNA from 1 species